GCUUAACCCUAAACAAAGAUGUAACACCACAACACAUCCGCCAGAGAACUACAAGCGAAAAGCUUAAAACUCUAAGGACUUGGCGGUGCUUCAAACCAACCUAGAGGAGCCUGUCCUAUAAUCGAUACCCCACGAUAAACCUCACCCCCUUUAGUAAUUUCAGCCUAUAUACCGCCGUCGUCAGCCUACCUUAUGAAAGAAACAAAGUAAGCACAAUAGUUAACAACUAACACGUCAGGUCAAGGUGUAGCACAUAAGGCGGCAGAGAUGGGCUACAUUUUUAUCAUAAAUAAACGAACAGCACAAUGAAAUAGGCGCUCAAAGGUGGAUUUAGCAGUAAGAUAAUAAGAAAAACUAUCUUAAACCUGCUCUGAAGCACGC
rnacentral:rRNA from 1 species